AACGCUGGCGGCGCGCUUAACACGUGCAAGUCGAGCGAUGAAAUUUCGACAGAUCCCUUCGGGGUGAAGAUGAAAUGGAUUAGCGGCGGACGGGUGAGUAACACGUGAGUAACCUGCCUUUGACAUUGGGAUAGCCUCGGGAAACUGGGAUUAAUACCAAAUGACACUAACUGAUCACAUGAUCAAUUAGUCAAAGAACAUCGGUCAAAGAUGGACUCGCGGCUGAUUAGCUAGUUGGUGAGGUAACGGCCCACCAAGGCGACGAUCAGUAGCCGGCCUGAGAGAGUGUACGGCCACAUUGGGACUGAGACACGGCCCAAACUCCUACGGGAGGCAGCAGUGGGGAAUUUUGCACAAUGGGGGAAACCCUGAUGCAGCGACGCCGCGUGAUUUAGAAGGCCUUCGGGUUGUAAAAAUCUUUUUUACGGGAUGAAAAUGACAGUACCGUAAGAAUAAGGUCCGGCUAAAUACGUGCCAGCCGCCGCGGUAA
rnacentral:rRNA from 2 species